rnacentral:rRNA from 1 species
AACGAACGCUGGCGGCAGGCCUAACACAUGCAAGUCGAGCGGACCCUUCGGGGUUAGCGGCGGACGGGUGAGUAACGCGUGGGAAUAUGCCCUUCUCUACGGAAUAGUCCUGGGAAACUGGGGGUAAUACCGUAUACGCCCUUUGGGGGAAAGAUUUAUCGGGGAAGGAUUAGCCCGCGUUGGAUUAGGUAGUUGGUGGGGUAAUGGCCUACCAAGCCGACGAUCCAUAGCUGGUUUGAGAGGAUGAUCAGCCACACUGGGACUGAGACACGGCCCAGACUCCUACGGGAGGCAGCAGUGGGGAAUCUUAGACAAUGGGGGCAACCCCGAUCUAGCCAUGCCGCGUGAGUGAUGAAGGCCUUAGGGUUGUAAAGCUCUUUCAGCUGGGAAGAUAAUGACGGUACCAGCAGAAGAAGCCCCGGCUAACUCCGUG